rnacentral:lncRNA from 1 species
GAGUAUAAAUCAAGCUACCAUGUAAUCAGAAUCACAAGGAAGAAAGAAAAUAAAGAGUAUAUCAGACUAAAGAAUAAGGAAUAAGAACAGAUUCCUUGCCUCAGAUAUGAUAGAAUCCAAAGCUCGCCGAAGCUCCCCCGAAGCUGCAAGCUCGGAUGCUCCGACUCACCCGCUCUUCUUUUAUACAGAGAAUGGAGAAAUGAAUCGCAGGUUUUCUCAAAAAGGAGCUUCCUUUCGCCCUUAUGAGUCCCAAAUCUCAUAACCCAGAAGACCGGAGACAGAAAAGAGAAAAGAAGAAGGGGCGAAAUAAAAAAUUUGAGGAAAAAAAAUAAACGGGUUUCCCAACCUGGACAAGACAAUGAGCAAAGAUUAGAGAACGAAAAUAGCUAUAUUAAUGCGGGAAAAGGUUUCAUCAAAAAAAAAAAAAGGGAAUGAGAGAGACGAAAGCCGAAUUUUUCCCCUGUUUAUAUGCUAAAGAGAGAAGAGAAGAUCAGGAUGGUGAAAAAAGAGAGCUUUCUGGACGCGGCACAGAGGAUUUUCUCCUGUAUUCCAUUUCAUGUAGAAAAGAAGUUCAAAACUAAGCGCAUGAAAAUGACUUUGGUUCUAGCAAAACAGGAGCAGGGAUAUCUAGCGGGGGAAAGAGGCGCUCCUUUUUCCUGUUUCUCCACUAUAGAGAGGGGACUACAAAGAAGAAGGUCAAAAAAAGACUUCUUUAGGGAGAGAAACGAAAGGGAUUUCCCCUAGAAAACACUCAAGUAGGGAGACCCAGGAGAAACAAACGAAGAAGGAUAAGAUGAACUGUAGAGUGGAGUCGGUUCUCUGUCGGCUUCUCCUUUCUAGCGCGUGCCAGGUCCAAACAAUCCAAUCAACUCCUAUGUCUAUCACCCUGAACAACUGUAAUCCUUUAAGCCACCAUUACC